GUAUGCUUUGGCAACACAUAUACUAAAACUGGAAUCAUACAAAGAAGAUUACACAGGACCUGAGCAAGGAUGACAUGCAAAUUCAUGAAGCACUCAUUUUUUAA